ACGAACGCUGGCGGCAUGCCUAACACCUGCAAGUCGCACGAGACCUUCGGGUCUAGUGGCGCACGGGUGCGUAACGCGUGGGAACCUGCCCUUAGGUUCGGAAUAACUCCCCGAAAGGGGUGCUAAUACCGGAUAAUGUCUUCGGACCAAAGAUUUAUCGCCUUUGGAUGGGCCCGCGUUGGAUUAGCUAGUUGGUAGGGUAAAAGCCUACCAAGGCGACGAUCCAUAGCUGGUCUGAGAGGAUGAUCAGCCACACUGGGACUGAGACACGGCCCAGACUCCUACGGGAGGCAGCAGUGGGGAAUAUUGGACAAUGGGCGAAAGCCUGAUCCAGCAAUGCCGCGUGAGUGAUGAAGGCCUUAGGGUUGUAAAGCUCUUUUACCCGGGAUGAUAAUGACAGUACCGGGAGAAUAAGCUCCGGCUAACUCCGU
rnacentral:rRNA from 1 species